GUAAUAUCUGAAAUGAAAGAGUGUGAUUACUGAUAAGCUAAGCAAGCUAUUAAUACAUUCAUGAAUGGGGAGAGAAGUUGUAGAAGAGUUUACUCAGGGUCAAGGUAGUCCAAUCCUUCAUGAAGAAGACAAAAAUGUUACUACCCGCCAAAAGAAGUUGUUUUAGUAUGAUGAUACCAAUUACAGAUGUUAAAGAUGUACCUUUUGCAGCAUCAACUGCAACUUUUAGUCUUGAAACCCAGUUCAUUGA